rnacentral:rRNA from 1 species
GACAGAGGUGCCAAGCGUUAGGCGGAAUCACUGGGCUUAAAGCGUGUGUAGGCGGGUCGUUAAGUGUCUUGUGAAAUCCCCCCGGCUCAACCGGGGAAUGGCUGGAUAUACUGGCGGUCUUGAGCAGUCUAGGGGCAGAUGGAACAGACGGUGGAGCGGUGAAAUGCGUAGAUAUCGUCUGGAACGCCAAAGGUGAAGACAGUCUGCUGGGGGACUUGCUGACGCUGAGACACGAAAGCCAGGGGAGCGAACGGG